AAUAUUUCUAAAUUUCUAAAAACAUCACAAAAGAUAUUUUCCCUUCUUCCCCGUUCACAACCAAACCCCACAACCCACUGACCACACCCUCUAGUAACCCCUCUUUCCCUUCCUCUCGCCUCCGCCACCACCGUGCCAUUUACGCCAUUGCCAACUCGGUUCAACCUCCACAAUAGCCACCGAGUCAACCAUUCUGGUAAGUAUCGAGUCGACAUGCUCUCUGAAUCGCUCCCCUUCAUCCAGAAAUUUCGCUGCAAAACUAUAGUCGUCAAGUAUGAUGGCGCCGCCAUGAACAAGGUCGGGGCCACUACAGCAGGUCUCUCCAGCCUCGAUGGCUGCAUCCUCACCGCCCGUCCCAACCCAAGGCCGCGGAUCUAGGCUUCGUCGGCGAGGUCGGACUUAUCCUGGCCAGAGAAUAUUCGGACUCUAAUUACACUAAUGCAUUCUAAGAUACAGUACUAAGACUAUUGAUUGAGCCUCCAAAUGAUAGAUUUUAAGUGAGAAAGUACCAAAAAGAAACUAGAUCUUCCAAAGAACCUGGUACCUCGAAUUUUGAUAAGUCAAAGCCCGGUUCUAGGUGGCAUGCGUUUCUUCAACUGUUGAGGGUCAAAUCGAAGAAGCCGGUGGCCACAUUGUAUCCUCUAAGUGUCCUCAAACUCUCCAGAAGAUUCACCAGUGGCAGGAGGGAGACUGUGAUAGAUUCUUCUUCCUUUCAUAGUUCACCCUGGAAAAUCUUCACUCACCAUGUGAUACAAAUUGCAACCAAUUACUUCGCCCAAGAAAAUUGUAUUGGAAAAGGUGGUUAUGCUGAGGUUUACAAAGGAUGUUUGCCAAAUGGUCAGCUGGUGGCGAUUAAACGAUUGGCACGUGGAGCAGAAAACGAAACUACGGGGGACUUCUUAUCAGAACAUGGCAUAAUGGUUCGCGUAAACCAUCCCAAUACUGCUAAUGUAGUUGGCUAUGGAGUGGA